GGGAGGCGAUUUCCAGAGUAAUGAGUUCAUCGCUGAUCCCACUACCCUUUCCAGCCAUUUUAUCUUGAGCUGGUCAGCAAGAAAAUAGGGGGAUGCUCUUCUCGAGAGGACAUCUUGUAACAAUGCCUGGAUCAACGAUGAGUCAACGACAAAAGAGAGGCAACAUGUUAACUAAUGUGUCUGUGACCGUCUUUGAACAACUCACCGCUUCCUCUUGGCAGAGCCACCCCGGACAGCGCCUCCAGCACCGAACUCUUCCCGGAGCUCUGGUCCCCUAUCA